rnacentral:lncRNA from 1 species
GUUUUUCCCUCCAGCUGGCUGGCUCAGGAAUACUCUCACAGUGAUGGCAGAAGAGCAAAUCUGGAAGUUCAAACACUCAAAUGUGUUGUUGGAUUUCUGCAUGCAUCACAUGGGCUAACAACUGGUCAAAGCAAAUCACAUGGCCAAACUAAAAAUCAAAGGCCUGGAAGACAGACAAAGUGCUAUAUUGAAGGUUACAGAAGAAUAAAGAAGUUCUGAAUAGAACAGAAGCUUUCAUAAGGCAGGGGUUAUAACGACCAACAGAGACUCCACAAAACCAUUUACUCACAAGAGAAAAUAUGGCACGGAUUGGAUUAGAAGUGGAAAGACUAAUGCAUUUUUGUCCAUAAGGAUUAGAAGAAAAAUGGUUCUCUCAGCUCUGCAAGUGAGCACAACAAGCAAUCCAAAAGCAUUAUUUGUGUGAAGCAGUUUGUAGAAUUUGUUCCAUUUGUCACUAGAACUAGUGUUUGAAGCUCAGCAAAAGUUGAGUUAUGGUUAAGCCCCAGGGUCAGUGGCCACGUGUUCAGAGUAGUACCUUAGGUUUAAAGCUGAUUCACAACCUGAAAAACACUCAGUGGUGUUCUCUCCCAAAUUAUCAAUCAUUACCUUGUGGUGUUUUAAAAAGAGGAUAGAAG